CUGUGGCCCUGGCUACAGCAGCACAGCGUGUAAUCUGGAUGUCACGUCAGGUGAACGAUCUUAUCUGGCCUGAAGUCCUAUGGCGGCAAUGCACGACCGCAUUGGGGAGGCUGAGGUUCAGGGCAAGAGCCUUUAUGGAAAGGGCAGUAACAGGCACAAGAAGGACCCAGUGAAGGAGGGAUUGGAUCCAGUUCAUCUGAAUGCUGUAAUUGGUUACAUCCUCCAGCAAGUUCAGGACGACAAAUGUGCAGCUCAAAAGCAGCCUGUCCUCCAUGCUAAGCAGGGAG
rnacentral:lncRNA from 1 species